GUCUAUGGCUAUACUACCCUGACUGCAUCUGAUCUUGUCUGAUCUUGGAAGUUAAGCAGGGUUGGGUCUAGUUAGUACUUAAAUGGCAGAAGGACUUAGUAAAUUUAAGAAA
rnacentral:rRNA from 1 species